CCUAAUAUUAUUAUUUGUUUAUCUCCUCUCUCGAUCGCCGCCCACAGAAGAAAAGAAGAGGAGGAAGAAGAAGAUGUCUCCGAUGAUGAAGAAGAAGAAGAUAUCCCCGAAGCUAAAUGGAAGAAAUUGAAUUUGGAUUUCAAGGAAAAUAAGCUAGCUUCUGGAGAUUAUGUUGAUGCCGCCGUUCGACAGCUUCAGAAUUAGAAACUGGUCCAGCAAUUAGACCUGCAGAAAAAACAACUGUACGAUGUUGAAACCAAGAUCCAAUAGUUGGAUCGACAAAGAGAAAUCGAUUAUGAAACAGUUCAUAUGCUAUUGACAUGUUUGAAGCAGAAAAAAAAAAAAAAAAAGAAUGGGCAAGAUUAGUCUAAUUUCAGCUAAGUAUAUUGUUACAAUUUUAUGGGCUGAAGUAUAUGAACAUAUGAGUCCCCUUUUUUGUAAUUAUUUGUACAAUUAAGUAUGCUCAAGUAUAUGAACGUGAAAUGGCUCUACAAUCUUGCAGUGAUCUCCUUGGAGCUGAAGCUUUUCUGGUUGUGACUAUCGCUGGUUUGUCUACGGAGGUGAAAUCAGGACAGGUCUCAGGUUCCACGGCGGGAGCAUGAGUUGUUUCGUGAGUAAACGCAACCAGGUCUCUCAGUUCAGUUUGUGGCUGUGAAACUGCAGACUUCUGCAAAAUGCAAUGUUCAGUUACAGGAUGGGAAGGCACCAUUGUGUGAACAAGAGUAGCUUUGCGUGUCUUUGCUCUUAACUCAGCUUGUGAUAGAGAUGUUGCAGGUUCAAGUAGAGGAAGAGAAGGCACAUAGUGGACGAGAGCAGCUAUGCGUGUCUCCGUUCUUAGCCCAGCUUGUGAUUGAGAAGUUGCAGGCUUCUGCAGAACGAUAUGUUCAGGUAAUGGAAGAGAAGACAACACUAUGUGAAGAGGCGUGAACAUCCGCUUCUUCUUAAACGGGUCAUGUAAUUUGUGUUUUUUUCAAAUAAACCAUUGGUGAUGAUGAUAUGAGACAAAUUCGGAGUGACUUUUACGGGACUUUACGUCUCUGUUCGGCUGAUUUUUCU